rnacentral:rRNA from 1 species
UACGUAGGGGGCAAGCGCUGUCCGGAUGUAUUGGGCGUAAAGAGCGUGUAGGCGGCCACACAGGUCAGCUGGGAAAACUCGAGGCUCAACCUCGAGACGUCGGUUGAAACCGUAUGGCUAGAGUCCGGAAGAGGAGAGUGGAAUUCCCGGUGUAGCGGUGAAAUGCGCAGAUAUCGGGAAGAACACCCGUGGCGAAGGCGGCUCUCUGGGACGGUACUGACGCUGAGACGCGAAAGCGUGGGGAGCGAACAGG